rnacentral:misc_RNA from 1 species
CCAUCCCCUCAAGCUCCGCUUGGCUGGUUGGGCCGACGUCCACCCGUGGCUUUGUGCCGGGGGGAGACGGGCCCGAAAGGCAGUGGCGGCUCCCGGAGGGUGGUCCCUUGGGGCGGUUGAUACAUGGGUUGUCAUCUUCCACCGCUCCGUUGGCCACGCUCCGGGGGUCCAGUCGAACGAUUGGUCUUCCCCUCUA